rnacentral:rRNA from 1 species
GAUGAACGCUGGCGGCGUGCUUAACACAUGCAAGUCGAACGGAAAGGCUCCUGCUUGCAGGGGUACUCGAGUGGCGAACGGGUGAGUAACACGUGGGUGAUCUGCCCUGCACUUCGGGAUAAGCCUGGGAAACUGGGUCUAAUACCGGAUAGGACGAUGGGUUGGAUGCCAUUGUGGAAAGUUUUUCGGUGUGGGAUGAGCUCGCGGCCUAUCAGCUUGUUGGUGGGGUAGUGGCCUACCAAGGCGUCGACGGGUAGCCGGCCUGAGAGGGUGUACGGCCACAUUGGGACUGAGAUACGGCCCAGACUCCUACGGGAGGCAGCAGUGGGGAAUAUUGCACAAUGGGCGCAAGCCUGAUGCAGCGACGCCGCGUGGGGGAUGACGGCCUUCGGGUUGUAAACUCCUUUCGCUAGGGACGAAGCGCGAGUGACGGUACCUGGUGAAGAAGCACCGGCUAACUACGUG